rnacentral:rRNA from 1 species
AGAGUUUGAUCAUGGCUCAGGGCUAACGCUGGCGGCGUGUCUUAGCCAUGCAAGUCGAGCGGUCCUAUGGGGCGACCUAUAGGAUAGCGGCGGACGGCGGAGUAACACGUAGCUAACCUACCCUCCGGACGGGGAUAACCAUUCGAAAGGGUGGCUAAUACCCGAUGGAGUCAUCCGCAAGGGUGAUGAAAGGUGGGCCUCUGUUUACAAGCUCAUGCCGGGGGAGGGGGCUGCGGCCUAUCAGGUAGUUGGUGGGGUAAAGGCCCACCAAGCCUAUGACGGGUAGCCGGCCUGAGAGGGUGACCGGCCCGAGGGACACUGAGACACGGGUCCCACUCCUACGGGAGGCAGCAGGCUAGAAAUUUGGGCAAUGGGGGAAACCCUGACCCAGUGACGCCGCGUGCAGGAAGGAGCCCUUCGGGGUGUAAACUGCUGUCGUGCGGGGCGAAGGGUUUAUAGGCGAAUAGUCUAUAGACUUGACGGUACCGCAGGAGGAAGCCCAGGCUAACCUCGUGCCAGCAGCCGCGGUAAUACGGGGUGGGCGAGCGUUGCCCGGAAUUACUGGGUUUAAAGGGGGUGUAGGCGGUCUGGAUAGUCAGGUGUGUAAUCCAAUCGCUCAACGAUUGGACUGCAUCUGAUACUUUCAGGCUAGAGGGCGGUAGAGGAGAGCGGAACUCCCGGUGUAGCGGUGAAAUGCGUAGAUAUCGGGAGGAACGCCGGUGGCGAAGGCGGCUCUCUGGGCCGUUCCUGACGCUGAGGCCCGAAAGCUGGGGGAGCGAAAGGGAUUAGAUACCCCUGUAGUCCCAGCCGUAAACGAUGGGCACUAGGUGUGCCUCUAUAUAGGGGUGUGCCGACGGGAAACCAUUAAGUGCCCCACCUGGGGAGUACGCCCGCAGGGUGAAACUCAAAUGAAUUGACGG